AAUGAACGCUGGCGGUAUGCCUAACACAUGCAAGUCGAACGGCAGCACAGUAAGAGCUUGCUCUUACGGGUGGCGAGUGGCGGACGGGUGAGGAAUACAUCGGAAUCUACUUUUUCGUGGGGGAUAACGUAGGGAAACUUACGCUAAUACCGCAUACGACCUACGGGUGAAAGCAUGGGAUCUUCGGACCUUGCGCGAUUGAAUGAGCCGAUGUCGGAUUAGCUAGUUGGCGGGGUAAAGGCCCACCAAGGCGACGAUCCGUAGCUGGUCUGAGAGGAUGAUCAGCCACACUGGAACUGAGACACGGUCCAGACUCCUACGGGAGGCAGCAGUGGGGAAUAUUGGACAAUGGGCGCAAGCCUGAUCCAGCCAUACCGCGUGGGUGAAGAAGGCCUUCGGGUUGUAAAGCCCUUUUGUUGGGAAAGAAAAGCAGCAGGUUAAUACCCCGCUGUUCUGACGGUACCCAAAGAAUAAGCACCGGCUAACUUCGUG
rnacentral:rRNA from 1 species